rnacentral:rRNA from 1 species
GAUGAACGCUGGCGGCGUGCUUAACACAUGCAAGUCGAACGAAGCAUUUAAGACAGAUUACUUCGGUUUGAAGUCUUUUAUGACUGAGUGGCGGACGGGUGAGUAACGCGUGGGUAACAUGCCUCAUACAGGGGGAUAGCAGCUGGAAACGGCUGGUAAUACCGCAUAAGCGCACAGUACCACAUGGUACAGUGUGAAAAACUCCGGUGGUAUGAGAUGGACCCGCGUCUGAUUAGCUAGGUGGCGGGGUAACGGCCCACCAAGGCGACGAUCAGUAGCCGACCUGGGAGGGGGACCGGCCACAUUGGGGCUGAGACACGGCCCAGACUCCUACGGGAGGCAGCAGUGUGGAAUAUUGCACGAUGGAGGAAACUCUGAUGCAGCGACGCCGCGUGAGUGAAGAAGUAGUUCGCUAUGUAAAGCUCUAUCAGCAGGGAAGAUAGUGACGGUACCGGACUAAGAAGCUCCGGCUAACUACGUG